rnacentral:lncRNA from 1 species
CCAGGGACCUGCUGCAGCUGGGAGGGGAGCUGUCCAGAAGGUCGGCCUGGGACUGAGCAUGGGCCUGCAGCUGGCAGAGAGAAGGGUCGAGGCAGCCCUGAAGAAGCAGGCCCUGCUGCAGACCCAGCUGGAGGAGCAGCUGCAGGACAAGGUGCUUCACGAGAAGGGACCUGGCCCAGCAGCAGAUGCAAAGCGACCUGGACAAGGCUCACCUCAGUGCCAGAGAGUGACAGAGCUGGGCCUGGCAGUGGAGCGUCUUCAGAAGCAGAAUCUGGAGAAGGAUCAGGUCAACAAGGACCUCACCAAGAAGCUUGAGGCCCUGGUGAGAAUCCCUGUGGCUACAGGAGCAGGCGGCCCUGGAGACAGAGGACGGAGAGGAGCUACAGCAGAGCCUAAGGGACCUGGCACCUCAGGCCGUCCUGUCCGAGGCUGAGAGCGGCGUCCAGCUGAGCGGCUCCAAGUGCACCGUGGAUGCGUCGGAGCGCAGCCUGCGGGGACUCUGGGGCCAGCGGACCCCGUCCCCACCGCGGUGCUACUCGCCAGGCAGAGGCCGUUCGCCCCGCCGAGGCCCCUCCCCGGCCUGCUCAGACUCCUCCGCCCUCGCCCUGAUCCACUCCGCCUUGCACAAGCACCAGCUGCAGGUCCAGGUAGGAAGGGGCUUGAGCGUGAAUCCUGGCUCUCAAACGUAGGCCUAGAGGAACAGAUGUAGCGCCUGCGGGACAAGACCGAGGGCACCAUGCAGGUCCACGAGGACGCCCAGCGCGAGGUGCAGCGGCUGCGGAGAGCCAAGAAGCUCCUGAGCAGGUGCUGGGGAGGUCUGAGCUGGGGGC